GUCGUAUUUGUCUUCAAAGUAGUGGGAUCUUGAAAAUGACUUUAUUAUAGUAUAGUGCAUGUAGGCUUAUUAAAUAACGUUUUAUAGAUAGAAUGAGAGAAAGUAGUACUACGAAAUUCUUUUGCUUUAUUUAUUGAAGAAAUACAGAUGGUACAAAACCUCAACAUCAUCACAUAGAUUUUGAACUUAAACACCCAAUCAAAUUCACCCAAAACACCACUCAAAACCCGACACUACCACACUCAUGUAAUUAAACAACCAUAUCUUAAACUUCAAUUAUUAUUCCCAUGACACGAUACAACCAAAAUUAAACCAAGUGUAGAUUCAUUUAAUAAUCAGGAUUUGCCAAAACGUAACCCUCAAUGGCCUUGAUAAGUCCAGUUCCUCUGGCCUUAGUCUCAUCACGCACUGCAUCAGAUAGAGUUGCAUCACCUUUGGUGUGAUAUUUAACUGUAAUCUUAGCAAUGGAUCCACCAUCAGAGCCAGCCACAAUUUUUGUCUCGAAUUCAACUUUCUCUAGACUUUCAUCCAAUCCUGUUCCUCCUACUAAGCUAUAGUUGUAUCCAAAGUUUGCCUCAUCUACUGCAUCUAAUUUGUGUAGCACAAAGUUGGUUUUGCCAUCUGCAAUACAACCAUUAUAAUUAUUUAUAUAAUUCUUUUUUCGAUACAAGUAAAGUUUAACUAAAAACUCUUUCAUUUAAAGAUCGAUUUGAACUUUACCGAGUAUCGUUAAUCACAUGAAUCAUGUUUUUGAAGGUCCAUAAUUGUUAGACAUACUCCUGGAACGAGCUUAUGUAUUGUCUCCUUCAUUUCUCAAGAUUCUAUUUUAAAAAUAAAAGUAUAACAUAAAUGGCUACUACCAUAACUAUCCAAAUAGAUUUGAAUGACUUUUUUUGAUACACUUGAAUUUAACUUACUUUUUUUUUUUGGGUAUAAUGAAUUUAACUUACUUUUAUUUGGUAUAAUGAAUUUAACUUAGUUAUUUGUGAAUCAUUUAAUCAAUCACAACUCUUCAAUUUGUCACAUCAUAUUUAUCAAUUUUUAAAUAAAAGGUAGUUACACAAUUCUUUGUUGUACUGAUAAAUUUGAUUGGUUGUCGGUGUAAAACAAUUUUACGUGAACACUAUGUAUCAUUUGAUCUUAAGUAUUAUAUAUUUGUACGUCGUAUAUGCUCUUAAUUACCUUCAACAAUGGAUAACUUCUUAAUGGUUCCUGGUCCUCCAUUUCCUUCAACAAUUUCAACACUUUGGGCAGCAGAAAUCACCUUUGGGACGAUUUCAUCAGCAUCUUUUGCAAGAGCUUUGUAUAGUUUAGCUGGAGCCACGGUUGAGACAUGUUCAUCAUUGAAAGUAAAAACACCCAUGAUAUAUAUUAAGAUAAAGAAGAUUAAUAUGCAAGAAGAAAAUGAAAGGAGAAGUAUAUAAUAAAAAUACAACUAGUAUAUAACUUG
rnacentral:lncRNA from 1 species